UCUAAUUACAUUGGUAACCAGUUUAUAAUUAAGCAAUAAAGCUCGAGGUGUGGUGUAUAUGGCCAAUAUACCACGGCUAAGGGCUGUGUCCAGGCACUCAGCGUUGCAUCGUACGAGGUAUCAUUGUGAUGGCGAUGCGUACUAGGUAUCAUUGCGAUGGCGAUGCGUACUAGGUAUCAUUGCGAUGGCGAUGCGUACUAGGUAUCAUUGCGAUGGCGAUGCGUACUAGGUGUCAUUGCGAUGGCGAUGCGUACUAGGUGUCAUUGCGAUGGCGAUGCGUACUAGGUAUCACUGUGAUGGCGAUGCGUACUAGGUAUCACUGAUGGCGAUGCGUACUAGGUAUCACUGUGAUGGCGAUGCGUACUAGGUAUCACUGUGAUGGCGAUGCGUACUAGGUAUCACUGUGAUGGCGAUGCGUACUAGGUAUCACUGUGAUGGCGAUGCGUACUAGGUAUCACUGUGAUGGCGAUGCGUACUAGGUAUCACUGUGAUGGCGAUGCGUACUAGGUAUCGAUAUGUAUUAUUCACUGUCGCAUUAGAAAAGUGUACAACUCCCCUUAUUCUUCUCAUAGGGUGCAUUUGAAAUGACACUUUAUUCCUCUUAGUGCACUCGUUUUGACAGGAGCCACCUAGGGAGCCUCUGGUCAGAGGUAGAGGCCACUCGUUUUGACAGGAGCCACUUAUGGAGCCUCUGGUCAGAGGUAGAGGCCACUCGUUUUGACAGGAGCCACUUAUGGAGCCUCUGGUCAGAGGUAGAGGCCACUCGUUUUGACAGGAGCCACCUAUGGAGCCUCUGGUCAGAGGUAGAGGCCACUCGUUUUGACAGGAGCCACCUAUGGAGCCUCUGGUCAGAGGUAGAGGCCACUCGUUUUGACAGGAGCCACCUAUGGAGCCUCUGGUCAGAGGUAGAGGCCACUCGUUUUGACAGGAGCCACCUAUGGAGCCUCUGGUCAGAGUUAGAGGCCACUCGUUUUGACAGGAGCCACCUAUGGAGCCUCUGGUCAGAGGUAGAGGCCACUCGUUUUGACAGGAGCCACCUAUGGAGCCUCUGGUCAGAGGUAGAGGCCACUCGUUUUGACAGGAGCCACUUAUGGAGCCUCUGGUCAGAGGUAGAGGCCACUCGUUUUGACAGGAGCCACCUAUGGAGCCUCUGGUCAGAGGUAAAGGCACUAUAUCAGACAAGGUGUCAUGCAUCUAACGACAACCAGGGUUUGGCAAGGGAUAAAUCUUUUUAAUUUAGACCGUGACGAACCUAACCGCAACAGAAAUUAAGUUAAGAUGUAUUUGCACAGACACUUCAUGCACACAUGCAUACAACACCAGCAGACUGUACACAGCUCACCCGGAUGAGUGCUACACAAGGAGAAUCUACUUCCAUAAUCCACCUUGUUGAAGGCACGUUAUUGCAUGUUUUCUUUCUGUGCUAUAUUGGGUUUUCAAUGCGGUAUGUUCAUUCAAUGUUUUCGUCGUUUUUCCACUUCCUUAUCGGCACUAUUGAGAUUAUGCGCCUACCCACAAUGCAUCACAUUCACAGCAUCCUUUAAUAUCUCCAUUUAAAAAAAAAAAAAUGUAUUAAGAGAAACUGACAUUUUUUUGGGGGACAUUUUUCUUGGGGAAUUGCAGGGUCUACUUCCUGGUAAUAUGCACAGUUGAAAGAAUUUACAGGAUAAAACAACAUAGUAAUUUCAUGUGGAGAGUUGGGAAAUGAACACAUUCAUUAGAUUAGCGUUGAAAACGUGACCAGCGGUCGAGAAAUCAACUAAUAAAGUGGAAAACGUUUCAAAUUCAUAGAAUGACAGUAAAAGCAGUUAGCUGAAAUCCAUUGUUUAUUUUCCACACGGAUGGUGAACCGCUUACAUUCAUUCUGUCAUUUUCGCUCGCUAAUCCUGUAGAAUCAGCAACGGCGCUAAUCCAAUUAAUUUCUUUAUUUUACGUUCGUCAAUUAUUACGUUGUCUUAACCUUUUUUUGUUAUCUUCAACCUAGGUAUUAUGGAAGCCUUUUCUUCUUGCUGCUACAUGACUGAAGAUGGUUAGAUGAUAUGCCCUUAGACACAGAUCUAGGGUCAGCUUGCCCUCCCUUUAAUCCUGACCUGUAACAUUUAAUGGGGCAAAAAGCAAAACUGAUCAUAGGUCAGUCUCUGGGUUGAGUGGAGCCUAAACAGUUUGGUGGUGACAUUUUGACUGACCGGCACUGUGUGAGGAAGCGAUACAUGUACAAAUUGUUAUGUCCUCAUCAGUCACAGCUUGUUCUGUGGAUCCACUGUUUCCCCUGGUUGAGCAGAACUGGGUUUGAGGUAAACAAAAUCAGAAUAUACAAAGCUGUUUUAUUUCAAACUUAAUGCCUAAACUUUCAUUUUGGAAGGGUAUCUGUAACGCAUCUUUAAAUAAUAAUGUUUUACUUGAUAUGCUAGCUAUGAGGACCCUAGUCACUGCACAUGUUUAUAUAGCAAAUCAUCCCCUAUGGUUAUAUUGUCCUUCCUGGCGUGAUGUCUCGGUAGGUUGACCCUGUGAGGAUGCGAGCCAUGACUUUGUACAAUGUCAUACCUUGUUAUUAUGUUCAAUCUGCAAAAUGGUGAUUUUUCAUGGUCUGCAAAAUGGUGAUUUUUCAUGGUCUGCAAAAUGGUGAUUUUUCAUGGUCUGCAAAAUGGUGAUUUUUCAUGGUCUGCAAAAUGGUGAUUUUUCAUGGUCUGCAAAAUGGUGAUUUUUCAUGGUCUGCAAUGGUUUUGGACACGUUGCGCUUUGGUUGACAUGCAAAAUGUAUUGACGUUGGUAAGAGACUAAGCUUGUCAUUGAUCUAACAUGGACAGUUAGUAACAGUAAUAGGCUAUUAUAGGAGUCUAUGCACGUUGGUCCUCUAAAGGGAAAUGGUUGUCCACAGAACAAGUGUUCCAAACCGACAUUUUGAGACUAAAUAAAUCUUGGAAAACGUGAAAAAUUUGCUAAAGAACUUUUGACUCUACAUCACUAACAAGUGGAGAAGCAUUUAUAUAUCAGAAGUCCUCCUCUUGUUUUUUUCUCUCGACUUCUGUGUGCAGUCUAUCAACAGACUUCCAGAGAAGUAAAACAUUUAAAAAAAACACAAAAUAAACAAAUAUAUUUAUAUUUAUGAAGAAAAACAAAAUGCACUCCUAUUCACUGAAGUGCCAAUCCUGACCAACUAAAGACUUGAGGGUGAUUUACAUAUGUCUUUUUGACUUAUUGAUUCAUUUAAUUUUCUUAAUAUUUCCUUGAAUGUGCACACAUUUUGUGCAAAAACAUUGCUGCUCUAUUUUCCUCGUCUUAUAGUUCCAUGAUGUGGUUUCUCUGAAAGUGGCAUUCUAUACUGCUUUUGCACUGUGGGAUUGGGUCAGAAUAGUCAUUUUAAAUCGGCCAAACAAAACUAAUAUAUUCCAUCAUGCUGAUCCGUCUAACUAAAUAUUGAUGCUCUUUUCUUAGUUUUAAUGCAUUGUUGAUUUCACUGUGCAGACCUCACACUGAUACAGCUGUGGGACAGACAGUCCAGACGUUCGUUAGAAAGAUGCAGGGUCAUCAAGUGUAAUUUUAGCCUGAGGCAAAGACUGCACUGCACAUUAGGGCCCUGAGGUUUUUCCUAGUCAGGUCACAUGGUCUGGAAAAGCUCCCGGCCUAGUUUAUCAGGUCAGUUAUCGUAUCAGGCCCAAUACAGGGCCACGUUCAGUAGCCAAACGUUACAAAUGGAAAUGCCACAAAUGGAGAGCCAACGUUAUUCCAUAUGUUUGUUUUUACAUAGAAAUAUUUCUAUCUGAACGUUUGAAAAUGUUGCGUUCCUGCUGAACGUGCCCCGGGGUUUCUCCACCUAAACUACCAUGUUUGCGCAUAAUGAGUCUAACCCAUCUUAACACAAAGAACUAAACAGCCAAUUCAAAAUGGACACUACUCACCAAAGUUGUUUUUUUACAUUCUUUUUUUCUUGAUUUUGAGCAGCUAUACCAUUACAUGGAUAUGGAUGGUUCUAGAAUAUGUUUCAGUGGCAUAAUCUUCUUGGCUGUCCAGACCCAGUCAAUCAACCAAACAACCAAUCACUUGUCCUGACACUUCUCUCAGCUAUUUCUUGUUUUAGCACAAAGACUCAGAAACACUUCUCUUGAGAUGGGAAGCUAGGUUAUUGGCUGAGAAUGAACAACCUAACAAGUAAUGCAAUAAAUAUUCUCCAAAAGUCCACCAUCCCAAGAGGUUUAAGCUGCGUCCCGAAGUGCACCCUAUUCCCUAUUUAAUGAACAACUUUUGACCAGCAGUCCAUGGAGUUCUGGUCAAAAAUGGUGCACAAUAUACCCCCACAGUGGAGGUGUUAUAAUACCCAUAAAACCUAGUGGUCAAACAGGGAAAUAAAUCGAAUUGUUUUUUCCACCAUUUCAUAUUUCCCCAUAGGCGAUUUUAGAAACACUUAAAAUAAGGGCUGUGUUUUGUGUAGGCUUACCCUGGAGUGACGUUUUGAUAACCGUGUAGAUCUCUCUCGGACAAGGUGACUCAAUAUAUUCGGCUCUUUUUACUCGUAGAAUCGAAAAUACUUAAAGUAGACAUCAUGCAAGACUACAAAUCCCUGCAUGCUUCUCCACGUCAUCUCUAGCUGACAUCUUUGCUAACAGGUCAAUUUAAAACCUGCACAAGAUAGUUCACAGAAUUGUCAAUUUUAAAGAUAUGUAGCUAAUUUACUCAUUAAUCCAUUUAGCUAGCAUUAGAUCAUUAAUCCAGAGAUUCUUACCUUUGCCGUGAGUCGGCAGUCUCGUCCAGAUCAUCAUGGUAUUUGUAGUUCUUUAUGAUAGCCACAUUAGCAGUUAAUUAUCGUUUCAUUUUGGUGGGGCAGUACAGGCAAACAUAUUAAGUCACCAUGUCCGGAAGAGAUUUACGCGGUUAUCAAAACAUCACGCCAGGGUAAGCCUACACGUAACACAGCCCUUAUUUUAAGUGUUCCUAAUAAAAAAAACUUAUGUGGUAAAAAAUGGAUGGUGGGAAAACAAUUGGUGCCAUUUCCCUGUUUGACCACUGUUUUAUAGGCAUUAUGACUCAUACUGUGGUAUGUUUUUAUAGAGGGAAUAGGGGCAUUUGGGAGGGAGUUUAAGACUUCUUAUUCAGGUUUUUGCCCUCAAGAGGGCAAUUAACAGAGAUGACUGGUCAACAGUUUCCUAGAACAAAUUUGGGAUGCAGGAAUGUGAAGUAAUUUACAUAAAAAAUGAUAAUCAAGAGUUCAAUUGGAACUAUGUGUAUGAUUUUAUAAUUUAGGGGGUGCUUAUAUUUUGUUCUCUUACACACAAGUGUGUAAUGGAAUUAUUUUUUGUAUUUCAUUUUUUUUUUUUUUUUUUUCAUAUCUGACUCCCACUGAGACGACUGCAGGGAUUCGGGUCACGGCCAGGGUCGCCAUUGUACAGUGCCCCUGGAAAUAUGUACAUUAGCUGAAGGAAUCAUCCAUAUUUUGUAAUGACUGCUGAAAUGCUUUUUAAGGCAUAGUAAAGGGAUAGGAGUUUUUCCCCUGACCAAAUGACAAGGAGAAACUGUGUCCCAAAUGGGCAUUAUAUACCCUAUAUAAUGCACUACUUUUGACCAUAGACCUAUUAGGUCCUGGUCAAAAGUUGUGAACCACAUAGGGAAUAGGGUGCCAUUUGCUCUAGUAUCUGUUUCCCUGUCAGGCCUUUUGGUCAGGAACAACUCCUAGGCAUGGAUUUGAAAAAUAAUCAAGAUACAUUUUGAAAUGGGAUUUUUUAUUUUUUUUGUCUUCUGGCCUAGAUUGUGUAUAACUGAGACAAAGGUGUUUGAAAAUCCCAAGCCACGCCUUAGUGCUUGGCUUUGUCAAAUAAAUAAUGCUAUCUAGGCUAUAAUUGUUUACAAUGCUACAUGUUUAUAAAGUGUUUUUUCAUAUGUCAUAACUGACCAGUCCUGAUGUAUACUCUGGUCCUCUCAUGUCGCUCUCUUUCAAUGUAUUUAUUUCCAAAACAAAUCUUUUUUUUCUUUUCUUUUGCUUAUGAUAACCCAUAUUAUACUGUGACUUGACAUUACCGACGGUAUGAAUGAGUGACUGAUACACUUCAACUGAACAUGACACACAAACAUGAACACAGAAACAAAACAAAAAAAAACAUAAAUGCAUUAACAAAUAUUAGAAAUGUAUAAAAAGAACCGUGUCCAGUGGAAACUGUACAAAAUAAAAUAAAAAUAAAAUGUUGCAACCCUU